rnacentral:rRNA from 1 species
GGAUUAGAUACCCUGGUAGUCCACGCCGUAAACGAUGAGAACUAGAUGUCGGGAGCAUUUGGCUUUCGGUGUCGCAGCUAACGCGUUAAGUUCUCCGCCUGGGGAGUACGCCGGCAACGGUAAAACUCAAAGGAAUUGACGGGGACCCGCACAAGCGGUGGAGCAUGUGGUUUAAUUCGAUGCAACGCGAAGAACCUUACCUGCCCUUGACAUACUCGGAACUUUCCAGAGAUGGAUUGGUGCCUUCGGGAACCGAUGUACAGGUGCUGCAUGGCUGUCGUCAGCUCGUGCCG